UAAGUUCUGCCAUGUCCGUGAUGGUUAAUUUAGUUUUGGCCAACACCAAAUAGAAAGGGAGCCUGGACUCUGCCUGCGGCGUAUAUGCCUUUAACAGAGGGACAUACAAACCAGGUAGGAGGGCACCCACCUGGAAGACAGGGACCAAAAUAAAUGACCACACGGCAUGGCGGAACCGUU
rnacentral:other from 1 species